AUUGAACGCUGGCGGCAGGCCUAACACAUGCAAGUCGAACGGUAACAGGAAGAAGCUUGCUUCUUUGCUGACGAGUGGCGGACGGGUGAGUAAUGUCUGGGAAACUGCCUGAUGGAGGGGGAUAACUACUGGAAACGGUAGCUAAUACCGCAUAAUGUCGCAAGACCAAAGAGGGGGACCUUCGGGCCUCUUGCCAUCGGAUGUGCCCAGAUGGGAUUAGCUAGUAGGUGGGGUAACGGCUCACCUAGGCGACGAUCCCUAGCUGGUCUGAGAGGAUGACCGGCACACUGGAACUUGGGCACCGUCCCGACUCCUACGGGGGGCAGCAGUGGGGAAUAUUGCACAAUGGGCGGAAGCCUUAUGCAGCCAUGCCGCGUGUAUGAAGAAGGCCUUCGGGUUGUAAAGUACUUUCAGCGGGGAGGAAGGGAGUAAAGUUAAUACCUUGGCUCAUUGACGUUACCCGCAGAAGAAGCACCGGCUAACUCCGUG
rnacentral:rRNA from 1 species